UCCGCUUUUCUUUUCCUUAUCUUUUCGUCUCAUCCCAAUUAUUUUUCAUCUCCAUGAAUUUUACCAAAUAGGGCCGGCGUCUUCGUUCGUUCCUACUGCCUUUGUGCCGUUCUUUCCCAAAAAACACUUUCUUCAAUCAGUUAUCGGCCGCCUCCGUGUCUUUGCCGUUUAUCUGCAGUCUCCGAUGUUGAACUUCUCAAUCGUGGCUGCCCUAGAUGCAAGUCACGAUUCACGCAGCAGCAACACCUUCGGGCUUCGAAAUAGAGCCCUUGAAGCAACCGGCAGCAGACUGCGAACCUGAGAUAGUGGGACCUUGAGGGCUGAGUCUCCUUAACCUUCGAUUCGCGAUGCUAGCACCAGCACGGUAGCACAGCAGAAACUGCAGAAGGAGAAGGAUUAUAUCUCCAUGCUGUAUGUAAGACAGUUUGUGGUAGACACAUCAAGAGGAGAAAGACUUCGGACAAAUGUAGAAUCCAUUUCCUGUAAUUACUAUUUUUUGACAUCACACAGCUGAAAACUAUUGUGUUCCCAAUUUCAGUAAUCUCUCUUUUUCAUUGCCUUACUCUCUUUAAGUAUGUGUCGAACCUUUUCGAUUUUUAUUUCCUUCAUAAGCGUAACAUUUGUUACCCGAUUAUUACAAUUAUGUACCUCGUCUUUGGCUCA